UACAGAGGUGGCAAGCGUUGUUCGGAAUUACUGGGCGUAAAGGGCGCGUAGGCGGCCUUCUAAGUCAGACGUGAAAUCCCCCGGCUUAACCUGGGAACUGCGUCUGAUACUGGAGGGCUUGAGUGCGGGAGAGGGAUGUGGAAUUCCAGGUGUAGCGGUGAAAUGCGUAGAUAUCUGGAGGAACACCGGUGGCGAAGGCGGCAUCCUGGACCGACACUGACGCUGAGGCGCGAAAGCUAGGGGAGCAAAUGGG
rnacentral:rRNA from 1 species